rnacentral:lncRNA from 1 species
UUCAAAGUUCUAAUUAAAUCCAAAUGUUACAAAUUACUCCAAAAAAGGCCAAGGCAUAAUCAAAAGAGUUUAAAAUAUGCAGAUCUUACAAAUAAUUCAACAGAGGUUACAUGAUUAGUCCCUAAGGUUACAAUCCAAAAGAUUUGUUACAGCUAAAUAAAUUUGAAGAAAAAUUGAACAAGUUGAGUAUCCAACAGAUUGAAGCAGCUUCCAAGACUUUUCCAAAAGCUCUUUUGGAAGCUCCAACGCCCCAAUCCCAAGCUGGCGCCGCCUCCUUUCCUAAUCAACAUCACUUCACCUGCAAAAAAAAAACAAUUCAAAAAAAAAGCUUAUCAAAUAAGCACUUAAAACAAACUGGAAAAUAAAUGAUUAAAUAAACAGGUAAGUGUGUUGCACGAUGAAUCUAAGAAAACACCCAAAAAAUCACAUUCCAAUAUCCAAAUAAACAACCUUAAAUCCACAAAGCAAACAUCCCAUAAAGUCUGGAAACAAGAUCCAACAAGUUAUCUCACAGAAACCAACAUUCAUAUAUAACAAAAUCAAUUAACAGUGAGAGGACACGUUUUGGAGAUCCAACAGAACAGAGCAAUUCAUUUUUUCAAACCCAAACAACAGAGCAAUAUUUUCUGAAAGUCCAAUUAAGUUAACAGCAAAACACACAACAGCAAAGUACAACAGCAAGAACUACAACAACAAGAUUUCGAAAAAAACCCAAAAAACCAAACAGCAAACAUCAAACAUUUUUUAGAAAUCCCAGAGAUUAAGAACAUCAAAUUUCCGAAAAAAGCCAGCAAACCAUAACAAAAAAAAAAACUGAAACAGAGUUGCCAUUUAAUCAUCAGACGAAACAGACAAAGAAGAAAAGUUAAGGAAGGAAACUUAUCCGGAACUGUGACGGGUUGCCGGCGACGGACUCGGAUCAAAGCACUCUUCUCCGCCUGAAAUCGCCUUUCCAUCUCCUCUGCCGUGGUAAGUGAAACAAAAUCCCCAUUAUUUCUCUUAAAUCGCCACAUGCAAGAACUUAGAUUUCGCGGUAAGGGUUUAGAGAUCUAGAAGGUUCGAGCAUGGUUUAGGAAAUUUUGGGUUCAUAUU